CGUCGAGCAGUUUUUGAACUGUCAAAUACGUAUGUUUUGUUUUGGUUGGGAAAGCGUCUAUGAGUGUGGUUAGAAUUUGCAACAGUGAACAACAAAUUAUAAUAGUAAUACAUAGCUAUGAAUAUAUUACCAUUGAUUUUUGCUCGAGAUAACAACGAAAGCGAUGCAGAUUUGUCAGCGUAUCGCAGGAAAUGGCGCAAACAAUUGGAUCCUCUCAUGCUUUCCGAUAAAGCAUUUGUUCGCGUAGAACUUUCGCGUCAACAAAAGUUUGUUUAAAAAGAUCUUACAUUUAAUUGCUCUUGAACUAAAACCGCGUCACAAAAGGGGGCUUAAAGCAAAGCAAAAGCUGGCUGCAACGCUGAAAUUUUUAGCUCAAGGGUCAUACCAGCUAGUUGUUGGUAACGAUUUUACCAUACCUAUGGCGCAAUCAACCUUUUCAGAAGUCUUACAUGAGACUUUGAGAAUAAUGCAAACACAAUUGCUCAAGUAUAUAACGUUGCAAAUGUCUGAAGUGGAAAAAACAGAAGCCAGAAAUUACUUCUACCAAAAAUCUGGAAUCCCUGGUGUUGUAAUGUGCAUCGAUGGAUCUCAUAUUAGAAUUCUGGCCCCUAACGGAGAUCGUGUGCCUUACUAUAAUAGAAAAGGGUGCUAAAGUUUAAACGCGUUGAUGAUAUGCGACAACCGUAAACUUAUCCGAUUCGUCGAUGCAAGGUUCAGUGGCUCCAAUCACGAUUCAUGCAUUUU